UACGGGGGGGGCAAGCGUUGUUCGGAAUUACUGGGCGUAAAGGGCUCGUAGGUGGCCAACUAAGUCGGACGUGAAAUCCCUCGGCUUAACCGGGGAACUGCUUCCGAUACUGGUUGGCUUGAGUUUGGGAGAGGGAUGCGGAAUUCCAGGUGUAGCGGUGAAAUGCGUAGAUAUCUGGAGGAACACCGGUGGCGAAGGCGGCAUCCUGGACCAACACUGACGCUGAGGAGCGAAAGCCAGGGGAGCAAACGGG
rnacentral:rRNA from 1 species